GGUUCCGGUGGGCUAGUGGUUAGAGCGUUCGCCUCGGAUUCGGAAGGUCACGGGGUUCGAUCCCUGAGCUGAGUCA